rnacentral:rRNA from 1 species
AGAGUUUGAUCCUGGCUCAGGACGAACGCUGGCGGCGUGCCUAACACAUGCAAGUCGAGCGGAGAUAAUAGCAAUAUUAUCUUAGCGGCGGACGGGUGAGUAACGCGUGGGCAACCUGCCUUUCACAGGGGGAUAACACAGGGAAACUUGUGCUAAUACCGCAUAACACAACGAGAUAGCAUUUUCUUGUUGUCAAAGGAGCAAUCCGGUGAUAGAUGGGCCCGCGUCCAAUUAGCUAGUUGGUGGUGUAAUGGACCACCAAGGCGACGAUUGGUAGCCGAACUGAGAGGUUGAUCGGCCACAUUGGGACUGAGACACGGCCCAGACUCCUACAGGAGGCAGCAGUGGGGAAUAUUGCACAAUGGGGGAAACCCUGAUGCAGCAACGCCGCGUGAAGGAUGAAGGUUUUCGGAUUGUAAACUUCUUUAGUCAGGGGCGAAUAAAUGACGGUACCUGAAGAAUAAGCCACGGCUAACUACGUGCCAGCAGCCGCGGUAAUACGUAGGUGGCAAGCGUUGUCCGGAAUUACUGGGUGUAAAGGGCGUGUAGGCGGGAAUGUAAGUCGGAUGUGAAAUCCCAGGGCUCAACCCUGGAGCUGCAUCUGAAACUAUGUUUCUUGAAGGCGGGAGAGGGAAGCGGAAUUCCCGGUGUAGUGGUGAAAUGCGUAGAUAUCGGGAGGAACACCAGUGGCGAAGGCGGCUUCCUGGCCCGUUCUUAACGCUGAGGCGCGAAAGCUAGGGGAGCGAACGGGAUUAGAUACCCCGGUAGUCCUAGCCGUAAACGAUGGACACUAGGUGUUGGUGGUAUCAACCCCGCCAGUGCCGAGGCUAACGCAUUAAGUGUCCCGCCUGGGGAGUACGGCCGCAAGGCUAAAACUCAAAGGAAUUGACGGGGGCCCGCACAAGCAGCGGAGCGUGGGGUUUAAUUCGACGCAACGCGAAGAACCUUACCAGGACUUGACAUGACCAGGACAGCGGCGGAAACGUCGCCUUCCCGCAAGGGACCUGGCCACAGGUGUUGCAUGGCUGUCGUCAGCCCGUGUCGUGAGAUGUUGGGUUAAGUCCCGCAACGAGCGCAACCCCUGCCGUGUGUUGUAUCUCUCACACGGGACUGCCGAGAGAAACUCGGAGGAAGGUGGGGACGACGUCAAGUCAGCAUGGCCCUUACGUCCUGGGCUACACCCACGCUACAAUGGCCGGUACAACGGGCGGCGAAACCGCGAGGUGGAGCGAAUCCCUUAAAGCCGGUCUCAGUUCGGAUUGUAGGCUGCAACUCGCCUGCAUGAAGCCGGAGUUGCUAGUAACCGCCGGUCAGCAUACGGCGGUGAAUAUGUUCCCGGGCCUAGUACACACCGCCCGUCACGUCAUGAAAGCCGAUAACACCCGAAGCCGGUGGGCCAACCGCAAGGAGGCAGCCGUCGAAGGUGGGAUUGGUGAUUGGGACGAAGUCGUAACAAGGUA